GGAUAUAUAGCUCAGUCUGGUAGAGCAUCACGUUGACGUCGUGAGGGUCACCUGUUCAAAUCAGGUUAUAUCCA
rfam:Cyanidioschyzon merolae chloroplast DNA, complete genome, strain: 10D.